GCCGCCGCCGCAGCCUCCCCCUCCGCGCUGGGGGAACUUUUCUACUCUCUGUGACCGUCUCCUCCAACGCCUUCCCACCCUCCACCCCCAGGGCAAGCCUCUGCCCCGUUUGCCCGCCCCUCCCUCGCCUGUCUUCCCAGCCCGAGCCUCUGCGCCUCGGGAAGUUUAUUCCGCCCGCCCUCCUCCCCUUCCUCCUCCUCCUCCUCCUCCUCUUCACCCCGCCUCCCCUCCCUCCGCCGUCUCUUUCCCCGGGGUGGCUGCCGCUGCUGCCUCUGUCGCUGCAAGCCUGCUCCUUGGCUAGCCGCGGCGGGCGGAGGGCUGGGAAGAGCCCCUAGCCCCACGCACCCCUCAGCUGCAGCUGCCGCUCGGGCUCCGGCCGCCCGCCCUUGGCCCCGCAGAGUUCCGGGCUCCCUCGCCGGCUGCACCGCCCCGCCCCGCGCGGACCUGCAGCGCCCGGCUGGCUGGUUCUCCGCCUUCCCCGGCUCAGCUCCCGGCCGCCGCGGGACCAGAGCCCUGAGUUCCUUGGGAGCCUUGCAUCGCCUUGGUGAGAACUGCUGGAGAACGCCUUAUAUUCCUGGAGACUCUGGGAAAACCCUCUUUCACUCUCCAAGUCUCUGAGUGAAGAGCACGUGAAGCUCCAAACAAGGGCACACUACUUGAAGGACUGUGAAGAUAUGACCUGGAGUCAGCUUUAAGGUAGCUGAGUUAGCUCUUACCCAGGAGCUCCCAGAGGCAAUAGAGCUAUUUCAGCAAACCACUUCUUUUAA
rnacentral:lncRNA from 1 species